AGAAAAGACAGAAGAAGAUAUAAAAGAAGAGGAACACUUGAUGGAGAAGUUAGUGGAUGUGGUCAACCAGAGGAGUAAAAUUGUAGACAGUAUUGAUGAAGAUAGAAUCAGAUAUAUGGAAGAAGACAGCCAUAUUGAAGCAAUGUUGCAGCAGAAAGCAUUUAGUAAGCAGUACAAAAAGCCUAAGAAAAAGAAAAAAGUAGGGUUUUUGAAGGAUAACAAAGAUGGUGUUAUAAAGAAAGAGAAAAAGAAGGGACGGUAGUAGAAAGUGGUGACAUGCUGAAAUCCAAAGAAAUUCAGUCAGCCAUUUCAGAAUGAAAAAAAAAAUAUGUGGAUUAACUUACAAGUGUGCUGAAACUAGUAAAUAAUUAGUAGAUAAACUUGAUUGACAUGAAUAAACUGAGUUAUGCAAGAUUUAUGAAUGUUCUCUCUUAUGAUUAAGUUCCAUGAAACAUAAAUAAUGGAUAGCAAAGUAGUUUGCAACUCUUGGAACUUUUAUAAUGGAUAGGAAAUUAGUGUGCAAUAAAAUGAUUCAAUAGUUCUGUUGAAAGAGAGAUGAUAAUUUAAUUCACAGUAUUAUAUAGUGUUACCUUUGUGGACUUGCUAAAUUUAAUUUCUGAACUGAUUAACAAAUAGUGAACUUUCUGAAGGAGGAAAUCAUUAAACAGGACAGUAAAUGUGCUCAAGUUGUGGAGAAGUCUGCUGGUCCCAAAACUGUAAAAAUUAAGAUUUGAAGGCCAGUCUAGAAAAUCUAGCUGCUAAUCGGUUG
rnacentral:lncRNA from 1 species